ensembl:miRNA MIR4424 microRNA 4424
CUUACAUCACACACAGAGUUAACUCAAAAUGGACUAAUUUUUCCACUAGUUAGUCCAUUUCAAGUUAACUCUGUGUGUGAUGUAGU